CCUAUCAGGAAGUUCUGAACCAAAGAAACCGAAGAGGUUUGAUCUUGGCUCAGGACGAACGCUGGCGGCGUGCUUAACACAUGCAAGUCGAACGAUGAACCGCUUCGGGCGGGGAUUAGUGGCGAACGGGUGAGUAACACGUGGGCAAUCUGCCCUGCACUCUGGGACAAGCCCUGGAAACGGGGUCUAAUACCGGAUAUGACUGUCCAUCGCAUGGUGGAUGGUGUAAAGCUCCGGCGGUGCAGGAUGAGCCCGCGGCCUAUCAGCUUGUUGGUGAGGUAGUGGCUCACCAAGGCGACGACGGGUAGCCGGCCUGAGAGGGCGACCGGCCACACUGGGACUGAGACACGGCCCAGACUCCUACGGGAGGCAGCAGUGGGGAAUAUUGCACAAUGGGCGAAAGCCUGAUGCAGCGACGCCGCGUGAGGGAUGACGGCCUUCGGGUUGUAAACCUCUUUCAGCAGGGAAGAAGCGAAAGUGACGGUACCUGCAGAAGAAGCGCCGGCUAACUACGUGCCAGCAGCCGCGGUAAUACGUAGGGCGCAAGCGUUGUCCGGAAUUAUUGGGCGUAAAGAGCUCGUAGGCGGCUUGUCACGUCGGUUGUGAAAGCCCGGGGCUUAACCCCGGGUCUGCAGUCGAUACGGGCAGGCUAGAGUUCGGUAGGGGAGAUCGGAAUUCCUGGUGUAGCGGUGAAAUGCGCAGAUAUCAGGAGGAACACCGGUGGCGAAGGCGGAUCUCUGGGCCGAUACUGACGCUGAGGAGCGAAAGCGUGGGGAGCGAACAGGAUUAGAUACCCUGGUAGUCCACGCCGUAAACGGUGGGCACUAGGUGUGGGCAACAUUCCACGUUGUCCGUGCCGCAGCUAACGCAUUAAGUACCCCUCUUAUAAACCCCCCGUGCGAAAACA
rnacentral:rRNA from 1 species